GUUAGCUGUGAACACCCUUGUGACUGCUCACGACGGUUAUGGAUGAUUUCAGAUUUUAAUCAUUUAGUGAAAUGUUUUCGAACAUCUACUUUGGAUGAUAAGCUACAAGAGUUCAAGACCCCUUACGGAACUGUGAAAAAAAGACAUUGGGAAGCGGUAUUAGAGGAAGAGAAUUAUCGUCAGCCUAACUUAAAAAUCGCUUACAAGUUAACACCAGCGCAUUUGAAACCGAAAGGUUUUCAAGUAAUGAAUGUUCCUCUUGCAACUGAAGUGUUUGGUCACGAAAUUUCGGUCGCCAUGGCUCACUAUCAACCCUAUUGCGAGGAAUUGAAGGAUUCAACUGCAACACAAAAAUUUAUUGAUCUUGUAUUCAAUUUGAUACAAGCUAUGUCUUCGCGUAUACCAAGAGAUGCUCUGUACGUGAAUGAAAAUUGCAGACGAAGAAAGGUAAGAAAUAGUUGGCGAUUAAAAUUAAGGUCAAUGCGGAGAAGACCGUCUAUCAGCUAAGUCCGUCUACUCACUAUAACAUUUAAGGGAAGACCGUCAUAAAGAAAGACCGGCCGGACGGUGCCUUAAACCAGAAGUAGCCAACCUUUUAAUGUAUUUUUGUUAGUAGAUACCUCUUAUAGUGAAGAAUAUUUUAUGCCGAUUAUAAUUAGAAUUAAUAUAAUUAUGCGUUGCUGGUAGUGAAUAUUAUGUGUUAUUCUGACCAACAACCGAAAAAUUUUCAAAGACUUACAUACAGUACAACAACUUAACUUCCAUACAGACCACAAAAUGGUAAGAGCAUCACUGUCAACGAAGCAGAAACCAAAAAGAAGACAUUUUCAGAAUAAGUAUAAAACUGCCUUGGUAUUAACUGGAAACAAGGAGUCACUUCUUGAAAAUUUGAAUACUACAAUAAACAGACAUGCGACCGUAAACUAC